rnacentral:rRNA from 1 species
CUCCUACGGGAGGCAGCAGUGGGGAAUAUUGGACAAUGGGCUCACGCCCGAUCCAGCAAUAUCGCGUGGGUGAAGAAGGGCACUGUCGCUUGUCAAGCUCUUUCGUCGAGUUUCGAUCAUGACAGGACUCGAGGAAGAAGCCCCGGCUAACUCCGUGCCAGCAGCCGCGGUAAUACGGGGGGGGCAAGUGUUAUUCGGAAUGACUGGGCGUAAAGGGCACGUAGGCGGUGAAAAGGGUGGAAAGUGAAAGUCGCCAAAACACUGGCGGGGUGCUUUCUUGACCAUUUCACUUGAGUGAGAUAGGGGAGAGUGGAAUUUCGUGUGGAGGGAUCAAAUCCUAAGAUAUACGAAGGAACGCCAACCGCGAAGGCAGCUCUCUGGGUCCCCACUGACGCUGGGGUGCGAAAGCAUGGGGAGCAAACAGGAUCAGAUACCCUGGUAGUCCAUGCCGUAAGCGAUGAGUGUUCGUCCUUGGUCUGCCUGCCUACUAGGUAGGAUUAGGAUCAGGGGCCCAGCUAACGCGUGAAACACUCCGCCUGGGGAGUACGGUCGCAAGACUGAAACUCAAAGGAAUUG